GAUUCCACACAGGAAGGUCACAUUAAAGAUUACAAGGGUGAAUAUCUGAUAGAUAUAAAAGUUGAGAGUAAAGCAGAAGAAGAAGAAGAGAGGUAUGUGAGGGAUGAUCAGCAGUCUAUGGAGAAGGAUGAAAUAAUAAGACUAAUUAUAGAGGAGGACACGCCUACAGAGAUCAGCACAGUAGAUGGACGGGAGAUGAGGAAAACCUCAGAGGAUUGU